rfam:Microvirga vignae strain BR3299 T20BR3299_1_(paired)_contig_41, whole genome shotgun sequence.
CGCGUAUUUUGCCCAUGCGGAGCUCGACCGCCGCUCCAAGCCAUGAAGGAGUUUACCGGCGAGCAUCGGGAGGUCUAUGGGGUCGAGCCGAUCUGCCGGGUGCUGCCGAUCGCCCCG